CAGUCGCCGCGGUAAUACGAAGGGGGCUAGCGUUGUUCGGAUUUACUGGGCGUAAAGCGCACGUAGGCGGACUUUUAAGUCAGGGGUGAAAUCCCGGGGCUCAACCCCGGAACUGCCUUUGAUACUGGGAGUCUUGAGUUCGAGAGAGGUGAGUGGAAUUGCGAGUGUAGAGGUGAAAUUCGUAGAUAUUCGCAGGAACACCAGUGGCGAAGGCGGCUCACUGGCUCGAUACUGACGCUGAGGUGCGAAAGCAUGGGGAGCAAACAGGAUUAGAUACCCCUGUAGUCCCUGUCUCUUAUAC
rnacentral:rRNA from 1 species